rnacentral:rRNA from 1 species
GAUGAACGCUGGCGGCGUGCCUAAUACAUGCAAGUCGAGCGAACGGACGAGAAGCUUGCUUCUCUGAUGUUAGCGGCGGACGGGUGAGUAACACGUGGAUAACCUACCUAUAAGACUGGGAUAACUUCGGGAACCCGGAGCUAAUACCGGAUAAUAUUUUGAACCGCAUGGUUCAAAAGUGAAAGACGGUCUUGCUGUCACUAAUAGAUGGAUCCGCGCUGCAUUAGCUAGUUGGUAAGGUAACGGCUUACCAAGGCAACGAUGCAUAGCCGACCUGAGAGGGUGAUCGGCCACACUGGAACUGAGACACGGUCCAGACUCCUACGGGAGGCAGCAGUAGGGAAUCUUCCGCAAUGGGCGAAAGCCUGACGGAGCAACGCCGCGUGAGUGAUGAAGGUCUUCGGAUCGUAAAACUCUGUUAUUAGGGAAGAACAUAUGUGUAAGUAACUGUGCACAUCUUGACGGUACCUAAUCAGAAAGCCACGGCUAACUAC